rnacentral:tRNA from 1 species
CAUUGGUGCGAAAUCCAGCCUGGAAUGAGU